rnacentral:tRNA from 1 species
GCCUUUGUGGUGUAGUGGUCAGCACGCUCGGCGCGUAUUCUAGAGGUCCGUGGUUCGAGUCCUGGCGAGGGCA